AACGAACGCUGGCGGCAGGCCUAACACAUGCAAGUCGAACGCUCCGCAAGGGGAGUGGCAGACGGGUGAGUAACACGUGGGAAUCUUCCUAUCGGUACGGAAUAGCUCAGGGAAACUUGGGGUAAUACCGCAUACGCCCUUCGGGGGAAAGAUUUAUCGCCGAUAGAUGAGCCCGCGUCUGAUUAGCUAGUUGGUGAGGUAAUGGCUCACCAAGGCGACGAUCAGUAGCUGGUUUGAGAGAAUGACCAGCCACACUGGGACUGAGACACGGCCCAGACUCCUACGGGAGGCAGCAGUGGGGAAUCUUGGACAAUGGGCGCAAGCCUGAUCCAGCCAUGCCGCGUGAGUGACGAAGGUCUUCGGAUUGUAAAGCUCUUUUGCCAGGGACGAUAAUGACGGUACCUGGAGAAUAAGCCCCGGCUAACUUCGUGCCAGCCGCCGCGGUAA
rnacentral:rRNA from 1 species